ensembl:lncRNA
CUGGAGACACAAACUGAAGACAAACAACGAAGACAUAAAGCUUCAAAACCAGUAUAAUGAAGUUACUGCUCCUACUCAUCCUCUCUCUGACCACAGGUCGUGAAUCUGAAGUGAGAGCAUGUCACCAUCGAUGGGCUGAAAUCACCUGCAAAUAUCCUGAAACAAAUAACAUAUAUCAGUACAUUGAUGUAGUUCUUUCCAGUGGAACACCUGUACAAAGCUUUAAGAAGGACGUGUGGGAAGAAAAUGGUAGAUUUUGCCUCUACCAUGAUACAAAAAAUAAAAAUCUCAAGGUUGCAAUAAAACAUGUUAAAGAGCAAGAGUUUGGGAAGUACAGGUGCAGGUUUUUCCAAAGAUCGAACUCAUCUGACAUACAGGAAGGAAAACUGGAGACCGAGCAUGUAAACUGCCCGCGAACAUUUCUCAGCGUGUACAGAACAGCUAACAGCACCAUCACAUGUGAUUAUCCAGAUGUUUACGCGUCCCACAUAAAGUUCUUCUGUAAAAAGAAACGUUUUACCUGUGAGGACAUUUUAUCAACGUCAAAAGGGAAGUUUACUCUCACAGGCAGCAGCCGUGCCUUGAACAUUUCCAUCAGUCAUGCGACCUCACAGGAUGCUGGUGAUUACUGGUGUGGAGUGGAAUCAAAUGAUGGAAGUUACAGAUUAUCACACACACAAGUAAACCUGAAAGUUAUAGAUAUUGAACCUUUGACAUCAACUAUUGGACAGAACUUCACUUACCAGUGUAAGUACAACCGGGAUGCCUCCUCAUGUAUAAAAUUCAUCUGCAAAGGAGAAGAUUCAACUGUAUGCAAACAGCUAGUAACCACCACAGAGCCUGACGUGAACCAGAGGUUUAUAAUGAAAGAGAACAGCGGGAGUAUCACCAUUACAGUGAGAGAAGUAACAGCAAACGAUAGUGGGAUAUACUGGUGUGGAGCAAGAGUCCCUCACAAAGACAAUCAAACACAUGACGACUUCUUUGAUGGAUUUAAUUUGACUCUAGGGACCAAAUCACCUGCUCGAAGAUCAUCAGACAGAGAUGAAUGUGUUUAAUGAGUCUUUAUUUAUUUGUGUUCACAUUCAAAUCACAUACCAAAAAAUACAAAUUAGAUUUUAAACCAUGUUUGAACACAUUAACAAUGCAUUUUCCAUUUGUUAUUAUAGAGCUUUUGCCUGUAACAGAAACAGGUCUUCUAACCACAGCAACCACCCCAGCUCCUCAGAGUUCUGUGAUGACCUUGAUCCUAUGUGUGGCUGUGUUGCAGCUGAUGUUUGCAAUCAUUUUAUUCCUUAUCUAUAAACGAGUCUCACAUUUAAAAAAUGCUGAAAAUGGAGCUGGAGCAUCGUAUGUCAAACAGGAUAAUGGCAACAACAAAUACCUUGAGGUCUGUGCUGGUGAGGAUACACAGGAGCACCUUCAGGUGUCAGAGUCAGAAAAUGCAGCAAACUCAAUUUAAGUUAGAGCCAACCUUCACUCUGUGCUUUCUCGCCACAUUAUGCAAACAUCAACUUUCAAAGCUGUUCUGUCAAAGCUGCUGGUGAGGUACUCAAACCCAGCUCCUCAGCCUGUGAAUGUUCUACUGUGGAGUUCAGCAAAUGUUCAACCAGCCCGACUUGCCUUUCUAUCAGCUAAAACAACAAAGAGGAAUGUUUUUCUGAUUACUGCGCAUUGCCAAAAAAUGAGGUUUAAAGUUAACACAGCCAAACAAGAAAUACUUUUUAUUCUCAGAGUUCAUAACAGAGUUGGGCAAAAAUAAAUAUCAUUUUUAAAAAUACUGCCCUUUGUUCCUAGAAUAGUCUGUAGAACAAAAUAAAACUGUUAGAACUUGUUACUGUGACUUAAUAUACUUAAUAGUUUAAGUCAAUUUAAAGGAUCAACAAAAUAGAUAUGAGACAACGAGAUUACUCUUAAAAUUGAUUUGAAAUUCAUUGUUUUGUGGUUGGGUAUGGGCUGGUUGUAUUCACUCACACAUGUACUGUUUAGCAGCUGUAUUUGUGUGACAGCUGAUUUUUGUAAUUGUUACAAUUUCUCCUCCUCUCUUGGGCACAUAAAAUGUUACUAAAUAAGGAGAAAUAAAAAACACAAAGAAUUUAACACCCUGCUUCUGGCUUGAUAAGCAAAAGAAAUUCCAUAGAAAUUCCUCGAACACGUUUUAAGACCAGAGGAGACGUUUUAGAGCGGUGGCCCCCAGGUUGUGGAAUGCGCUCCCUCCAUCAUUACGUUGCCUUGAUUGUAUUUAUUCUUUUAAAAAGCAGCUUAAGACUCAUUUGUGCUGAACGUUUGACUGUGCUGUUUUUAUGUAUAUCUGUUUUUAUAUUACUGCGAAGCACUUUGUGGUUUUUAUCCUGUACAGAGUGCUAUAUAAAUAAAUUGAAUUGAAUUUUUCUGACUGUAAUUAUUAGGAAUAAUAGGAUUUUCAGCUAAAGCGAUAUUCACAAUAAACAAUAAAAAGUCAUACCAUU